rnacentral:rRNA from 1 species
AUUCCAGCUCCAAUAGCGUAUACUAAAGUUGUUGCGGUUAAAGAGCUCGUAGUUGGAUCUUGGAAUGUGUUCAAGCGGGUCAGCUUCUGGCUGUUCGCUGCUUGACGUGUUCUUCUAUUUGGUUUUGGUGCGGUGCGCUUAACUGCGUGUCGCUCCCGGCCGAAACGUUUACCUUGAAAAAAUUAGAGUGUUCAAAGCAGACCUGUUUGAGUCUGAAUAUUCGUGCAUGGAAUAAUGAAAUAUGAAUUCGGUUCUAUUUUGUUGGUUUUCGGAACUCGAGUUAAUGACCAAGAGGGACAGACGGGGGCAUUCGUACUCUGCCGUUAGAGGUGAAAUUCUUGGAUCGGCGGAAGACGCGCAACUGCGAAAGCAUUUGCCAAGAAUGUUUUCAUCA